rnacentral:rRNA from 1 species
GUAAGGAAUAUUGGUCAAUGGACGAAAGUCUGAACCAGCCAUGCCGCGUGAAGGAUGAAGGCCCUCUGGGUUGUAAACUUCUUUUAUCUGGGACGAAAAAAGGGUAUUCUUACUCACUUGACGGUACCGUAAGAAUAAGCACCGGCUAACUCCGUGCCAGCAGCCGCGGUAAUACGGAGGGUGCAAGCGUUAUCCGGAUUCACUGGGUUUAAAGGGUGCGUAGGUGGGUAUUUAAGUCAGUGGUGAAAUCUCCGAGCUUAACUCGGAAACUGCCAUUGAUACUAUUUACCUUGAAUGCCCUGGAGGUAAGCGGAAUAUGUCAUGUAGCGGUGAAAUGCUUAGAUAUGACAUAGAACACCAAUUGCGAAGGCAGCUUACUACGGGGUGAUUGACACUGAGGCACGAAAGCGUGGGGAGCAAACAGGAUUAGAUACCCCGGUAGUCC